CGCCUGUUUUAUCAAAAACAUCUCUCCCUGCACACAUGGGGAGUAGGCCCUGCCCGGUGCCCUGCGGGGUAAACGGCGGGGACAACCCUUAAAGUAGCGUAAUCAGUUGGCCUUUAAUUGGGGUCUAGUAUGAAUGGGUUGACGAUGGGCGGACUGUCUUGUGGGGGAUACUUUUAAAUUUGAAUCUCAGUCAAAAUUCUGAGUCGAGCUUGAAAGACGAGAAGACCCCGUCGAGCUUGAAAGAUCGUAUUCAUAAGUAGGGAAUGAAACGAGAAGUUUUGUUGGGGAAACAGAGGAGAGGGAACCUCCCUUUAUCAGACACGGAUCCGUUGAAUUACGAGAACAGGAAAAAGUUACCGCGGGGAUAACAGCGCUAUCCCGCUGAAGAGGUCUUAUUGAAGGCGGGGUUUGCGACCUCGAUGUUGGAUUAGGGUUACUCUUUGGCGUAGCAGCUGAAGGAAGUGGGACUGUUCGUCCUUUAAUUCCCUACAUGAUCUGA
rnacentral:rRNA from 1 species